rnacentral:sRNA from 1 species
UAUUAAAAGGAGAAGAUUGGCACGGAGCCAGGAAAUAUUGCGAGAGUCUUGGUGCCAACUUACCCAGCAUUCAUAGCCGUUUAGAGAAUAAUUUUCUCAAUAGAAUUGCUAUUGAAUAUGGCGUAUAUGAAAUUUGGAUUGGCCUGCAUGAUUCAUCACAGGAAACAGUGUUUGAAUGGACUGACGGGACAUCGUAUAACUUCCAGCGUUGGUUAGCAGGUGAACCAAAUAACUACAGAGCAGCUGAAGAUUGUGUGGAGCUGUACUAUGGAAAUUGGAAUGACGAUAAUUGCAAUUAUGUCAGGCCAUACGUUUGUGUCAAGAAAUUAGGUAGGUGUUUUGUCUUUACACAGCUUUUUAUAUCAACUUACUCUGUCUGGUCAAAAGUUUGCA